UUCUGCUGGCCUUUAUACUCCAUACAUUCUCUGAACUGGUGUCCAAUGCAUCCACAACAAAAGUAGAAGUCUGGUAAUCGUUCAUACACCACAGGCAAAUGGAUGUCCUCUUCAUCUUCUUGCUUUAGGACUAUAAGUUUCUUCAAAGGUUUUGUAAUAUUCACCGAGACUCGGAUACACAAAAAUUCCCCAAAGCAUUCACCCUGUGCAUCCA
rnacentral:lncRNA from 1 species